UACGGAGGGUGCAAGCGUUAUCCGGAAUCACUGGGCGUAAAGGGCGCGUAGGCGGCCUGAUAAGUAGGGGGUGAAAUCCUGCGGCUUAACCGCAGGGCUGCCUUCUAAACUGUCAGGCUUGAGCACAGUAGAGGCAGGUGGAAUUCCCGGUGUAGCGGUGGAAUGCGUAGAGAUCGGGAAGAACAUCAGUGGCGAAGGCGGCCUGCUGGGCUGUUGCUGACGCUGAGGCGCGACAGCGUGGGGAGCAAACAGG
rnacentral:rRNA from 1 species